AAGGAAUAUUGGACAAUGGGCGGAAGCCUGAUCCAGCCAUGCCGCGUGAAGGAUGAAGGCGCUCAGCGUUGUAAACUUCUUUUGGAUGGGGACAAUAACUUCCAUUUAUGGGAGCUUGAGGGUACCAUCAGAAUAAGCACCGGCUAACUCCGUGCCAGCAGCCGCGGUAAUACGGAGGGUGCAAGCGUUAUCCGGAAUCACUGGGUUUAAAGGGUGCGUAGGCGGUCAGAUAAGUCAGUCGUGAAAUUCUCCGGCUUAACCGGGUGGACUGCGAUUGAUACUGUUUGACUUGAAUGAGGUUGAGGUAGGCGGAAUGUGGCAUGUAGCGGUGAAAUGCUUAGAUAUGCCAUAGAACACCGAUUGCGAAGGCAGCUUGCUGGGCCUUCAUUGACGCUGAGGCACGAAAGCGUGGGGAGCAAAC
rnacentral:rRNA from 1 species